rnacentral:tRNA from 2 species
UGCGGGGUGGAGCAGCCUGGUAGCUCGUCGGGCUCAUAACCCGAAGGUCGGAGGUUCAAAUCCUCCCCCCGCUACCA